AGCUUUAGGAAAAUAUUUAAGGUUAAACCUGCCCAAUGUGUAUUAUUAAUGGCCGCGGUACUUUGACCGUGCUAAGGUAGCGCAAUCAAUUGGCUCUUAAUUGGGGUCAGGAAUGAAUGGAAUAACGGAGUUCGGCUGUCUCUAAAUUAAUAAUUUGAAGUUACUAUUUAGGUGAAAAAGCCUAAAAUAAGAAAAGGGACGAGAAGACCCUUAGAGUUUUACUUAAUUUAAACAAAAAAAAAGUAUUUAUAAUGGUUUAGUUGGGGCAACGUGGGAGCAUAGAAUUAAUCUCCAAAAUAUAAUCGACCGAUGAUUUUAAAUUUGAAUAAACUACCUUAGGGAUAACAGCAUUAUUUUAAAAAUAAGUUUGUGACCUCGAUGUUGGACUAGGGAAUCUAAAGGCUAGCCGUUUUUAGAAAGAGUUCUGUUCGAACUAUUACUCCU
rnacentral:rRNA from 1 species